AACGAACGCUGGCGGAAUGCUUUACACAUGCAAGUCGAACGGUAGAGGGGGCAACCCCUCGAGAGUGGCGAACGGGUGAGUAAUAUAUCGGAACGUGCCCAGUCGUGGGGGAUAACGUAGCGAAAGUUACGCUAAUACCGCAUACGAUCUAAGGAUGAAAGCGGGGGAUCGCAAGACCUCGCGCGAUUGGAGCGGCCGAUAUCAGAUUAGGUAGUUGGUGGGGUAAAGGCUCACCAAGCCAACGAUCUGUAGCUGGUCUGAGAGGACGACCAGCCGCACUGGAACAGAGACACGGUCAAGACUCCUACGGGAGGCAGCAGUGGGGAAUUUUGGACAAUGGACGCAAGUCUGAUCCAGCCAUUCCGCGUGCAGGAUGAAGGCCCUGGGGUUGUAAACUGCUUUUGUACGGAACGAAAAGGUCUCUCUUAAUACGGGGGGCUCACGACGGUACCGUAAGAAUAAGCACCGGCUAACUACGUGCCAGCCGCCGCCGUAA
rnacentral:rRNA from 1 species